GACGAACGCUGGCGGCGUGCCUAAUACAUGCAAGUUGAGCGCUGAAGGUUGGUACUUGUACCAACUGGAUGAGCAGCGAACGGGUGAGUAACGCGUGGGGAAUCUGCCUUUGAGCGGGGGACAACAUUUGGAAACGAAUGCUAAUACCGCAUAAAAACUUUAAACACAAGUUUUAAGUUUGAAAGAUGCAAUUGCAUCACUCAAAGAUGAUCCCGCGUUGUAUUAGCUAGUUGGUGAGGUAAAGGCUCACCAAGGCGAUGAUACAUAGCCGACCUGAGAGGAGGAUCGGCCACAUUGGGACUGAGACACGGCCCAAACUCCUACGGGAGGCAGCAGUAGGGAAUCUUCGGCGAUGGACGAAAGUCUGACCGAGCAACGCCGCGUGAGUGAAGAAGGUUUUCGGAUCGUAAAACUCUGUUGGUAGAGAAGAACGUUGGUGGGAGUGGAAAGCUCAUCAAGUGACGGUAACUACCCAGAAAGGGACGGCUAACUACGU
rnacentral:rRNA from 1 species